rnacentral:lncRNA from 1 species
AGGAGAAAAAACAAUUUGAGUCCGGACAAAACCCAAAUAGUCACUUUUUGGAGGUGGGAAAUUUGAGUUUAGCCCCUCAUGUGUUGGAGAAGGCCUUAGAACUAAAGACAUGCAGGUCCCUUCAACUAAAAAGCCAAAAGACAGCAUGUGAAGGAAUCUCUGCUAGCACAAAAGCCACUCUACCAUCAGCUAAGCCAUGCAAAGAAAUGCCAUCAAACAAGCCAUGCAACCAAGUGCCUUGUCCG